CAGUAGCCGCGGUAAUACGGAGGGUGCAAGCGUUAAUCGGAAUUACUGGGCGUAAAGCGCACGCAGGCGGUCUGACAAGUCAGAUGUGAAAUCCCCGGGCUUAACCUGGAAACUGCAUUUGAAACUGUCAGGCUGGAGUCUUGUAGAGGGGGGUGGAAUUCCAGGUGUAGCGGUGAAAUGCGUAGAGAUCUGGAGGAAUACCGGUGGCGAAGGCGGCCCCCUGGACAAAGACUGACGCUCAGGUGCGAAAGCGUGGGGAGCAAACAGGAUUAGAUACCCCUGUAGUCCCUGUCUCUUAUAC
rnacentral:rRNA from 1 species